GGAGUUAGCCGGUGCUUCUUCUGUGAGUGAUGUCCUUCCUGCCGGCUAUUAACCCGCAGGCCUUCUUCCUCACUGAAAGUGCUUUACAACCCGAAGGCCUUCUUCACACACGCGGCAUGGCUGGAUCAGGGUUGCCCCCAUUGUCCAAUAUUCCACACUGCUGCCUCCCGUAGGAGUCUGGGCCGUGUCUCAGUCCCAGUGUGGCUGAUCAUCCUCUCAGACCAGCUACGGAUCGUCGCCUUGGUGAGCCGUUACCUCACCAACCAGCUAAUCCGACAUAGGCUCAUCCGAUAGCGCGAGGCCCGAAGGUCCCCCGCUUUCCCCCGUAGGGCGUAUGCGGUAUUAGCCUGGGUUUCCCCAGGUUAUCCCCCACUACCGGGCAGAUUCCUAUGCAUUACUCACCCGUCCGCCGCUCGCCACCAGGGAGCAAGCUCCCCGUGCUGCCGCUCGACUUGCAUGUGUUAGGCCUGCCGCCAGCGUUCAAUCUGAGCCAUAAUCAAACUCUGA
rnacentral:rRNA from 1 species